GACGAACGCUGGCGGCGUGCCUAAUACAUGCAAGUCGAGCGAGGCGGGGACGGGUGAGUAACACGUAAGGAACCUCCGAUAAGCGGGGGACAACAUCCGGAAACGGGUGCUAAACCGAAUACUUAACGAUGGCCUUGAGGUGCAUUAGCUGGUUUGUGGGGUAACGGCCUACCAAGGCAAUGAUGCAUAGCCGACCUGAGAGGGUAAUCGGCCACAUUGGGACUGAGACACGGCCCAAACUCCUACGCGAGGCAGCAGUAGGGAAUCUUCCGCAAUGGGCGCAAGCCUGACGGAGCAACGCCGCGGGAGUGAAGAAGGUUUUCGGAUCGUAAAGUUCUGUUGUAAGAGAAGCGGUAUCUUACCAGAAAGCCCCGGCUAACUACGUGCCAGCAGCCGCGGUAAUAC
rnacentral:rRNA from 1 species